GUUGGGUUUAGGAAAAGAAGAACAGGGUUGGCUUUAGUAAAUGAAGAAAGUGAGUGUUAAGUUUUGGAAACGUGGCACACAGGACACGAAGGAAACGUGCCACACAGGACACGAU